rnacentral:rRNA from 1 species
UACGUGAGGGGCAAACGUUGUUCGGUGUCACUGGGCUUAAAGGGUGCGUAGGUGGUUGCGUAAGUAACGUGUGAAAUCCCCCGGCUUACCCGGGGAAUUGCGCGUUAUACUGCGUAACUUGAGGACUGUAGGGGAAUGGGGAACUCCAGGUGUAGCGGUGAAAUGCGCAGAUAUCUGGGGGAAGGCCGGCGGCGAAGGCGCCAUUCUGGGCAGUUCCUGACACUGAGGCACGAAAGCGUGGGGAGCGAUCCGG